UUUGAUCUUUUGCUCUUCUUCCUGUUUGAGUUUUUGGCCCAGAGAAAAGUGGACUUUCUGUCUUUGAAAUCAUCUCUUUACAUAUACAGCAACAAAUUUUCAAGAGUUUUUAUUUCUUUAAGAUGUUGGCAUAGGUAUUACUACUAUGAUGAUCUGAAGAGAGAGAGAGGGAUAUAUAUAUAUAUAGAGAGAGAGAGAGAGAGAGAGAGAGAGUGUUUUGUUCUUGCAUGGCUAGCCAAAGAUUUGGAGAGGCAGCCUUGUCUGAGUCUGGACCUUCACACCAUCAUCACCACAUUCCGUAUUCGCUGCCCCACAUGCUUCACCACCCCAAUACGAGUUUCAUAAGAAAUCAAGAAGGAUCUGCGUUUGAUUUUUGAGAGCUGGAAGAGGGUAUAGUUCUCCAGGGAGUGAAGAUCAACAAUGAUGAGACAAAACAACCUUUAUACACCACAGUCAGGCCUGCAGCAACUCUGGAAAUGUUCCCUUCUUGGCCUAUGAGAUUCCAGCAACAUACCCCAAAAGGAAGCUCAAAAUCAGCAGAAGAGAGUACUGAUUCCGGAUCAGCAGUCAACACACUUUCCACCACUAGGUUGGAGCCUGACUCUCCCAUCAGCAGAAAGACAUCUUCAGACCACCGCCUUCCGCCGUCGCAAAUGGACACCGGAAGUGUAGUUGAUAGCCCAAGAACAGGUGGUUCACAGACUCAACCAGCUGCCAAACAAGCUCCAGAAAAGAGAAGGGGACCUGGUUCUAAUUCAGAGAAAGUUCUGGAUGCUAAGACAUUGAGAAGAUUAGCUUAAAAUAGGGAAGCAGCAAGGAAAAGUAGGCUUAGGAAGAAGGCUUAUGUACAUCAGCUAGAAUCAAGCAGGAUUAGGCUCACUCAGCUGGAACAAGACCUUCAGAGGGCAAGGUCACAGGGACUUUUCUUAGGAGGAGGUGGGGUUGCAGGUGGCAAUAUUAGCUCUGAUGUGCUCAUGCCCCACACAUUGAUAUGUUUCUCACCUGAUUGUGUAAGUAUGGCAAGAAGCCAAGGAACUUUGAGAAAGAGGGAGCAAAUAGUCUUUUCAGUCCAUUUGAAAAAAAGAUAUCUAAAUGUCAAACCCUUUGAUUCUUAGACUUCGCUAGAUUUUCACCUAAUAAUCCACAGUUUUCACCAUAAGCAGCAUGCUUUGUUUGGACCUUCAAGAAGCCAUUUGUCCGACAUAGCAAGCAUCAAUUUUCAAAUCAAGACUGGCCUUUUAUUUUCACGUAAAAAAACAUAAUUUUGCAUUUGACUAAGAGAUUUCUACUUCUCCAAAAACCCUGUCAGAGAUUUUCAUGACUGUUUCAGGUAAAAAAGAAUCACAUCAAAUCUCAGUAUGACCACGGCUUUCAACUUUUAUUGCCUGGUCAGCAAUAGUGUCCUUGAUUAUUUAUAUAUGUGUGUGUUGAUGUGUUUCAAGCUUGUUUAA